UAGAAUAUUUUUUUUACAGGACAAUCACACAUAUUAUUUGGACAAAAUUUAAAAAAAAAUGCUGCUCAUUUUGUAUUGCAUAUUAUCAAUCAAAUAAAUUUGCCCUAUGACCAUCAACCUUUGGAAUGUCUGAUUAACUAAGUCAUUCAGGACAUACACUCUACAAAACAGAUUGGUGACUGUACCUUUAUGAAGAUGCUAAGUAUGAGGUGCAUUUAAUGUAUAAAGUAAGGAGAUUUGUUUUCCGCACUAUUGCCUGUAUACCAUAAAACAUGUA
rnacentral:lncRNA from 1 species